rnacentral:rRNA from 1 species
ACKGCUCAGUAACACGUGGCUAACCUACCCUUGAGACAGGGACAACCCCGGGAAACUGGGGCUAAUCCCCGAUAGAUGAGAACACCUGGAACGGGUUCUCGUCCAAAAGGCGCCUAGAUCAUGCUUCUAGACGCUGCUCAAGGAUGGGGCCGCGGCCGAUCAGGCUGUUGGUGAGGCAAUGGCUCACCAAACCUUUAACCGGUACGGGCCGUGGGAGCGGGAGCCCGGAGAUGGGAACUGAGACAAGGUCCCAGGCCCUACGGGGCGCAGCAGUCGCGAAAACUUGUCAAUGCACGAAAGUGUGAACGGGCUACCCCGAGUGCCGUCCGCUGAGGAUGGCUUUUCUCUGCUGUAAGGAAGCGGAGGAAUAAGGCGAGGGCAAGUCUGGUGUCAGCCGCCGCGGUAAUACCAGCUCGCCGAGUGGUAGGGAUGAUUAUUGGGCUUAAAGCGUCCGUAGCCGGCCACUCAAGUCUCUCGUUAAAUCCAGCGAUUCAAUCGUUGGACUGCGGGAGAUACUGUUAGGCUAGGGGGCGGGAGAAGCCGACGGUAUUUUCGGGGUAGGGGUAAAAUCCUAUAAUCCCGGGAAGACCACCAGUGGCGUAGGCGGUCGGCUAGCACGCGCUCGACGGUGAGGGACGAAAGCUAGGGGCACGAACCGGAUUAGAUACCCGGGUAGUCCUAGCCGUAAACGAUACUCGCUAGGUGUCGGCCACGGUGCGACCGUGGUCGGUGCCGUAGGGAAGCCGUGAAGCGAGCCACCUGGGAAGUACGGCCGCAAGGCUGAAACUUAAAGGAAUUGGCGGGGGAGCAC